GAAGAUGUAGAUUCUUUUAUGAAACAACCUGGAAAUGAGACAGCAGAUGUAGUUCUUAAGAAGCUGGAUGAGCAGUAUCAGAAGUAUAAAUUUCUGGAACUUAAUCUUGCUCAAAAGAAAAGGAGGCUAAAAAGUCAGAUUCCUGAAAUUAAACAGACAUUAGAAAUUUUAAAACACAUGCAGAAGAAAAAGGAUUCCACACAUCCAAUGGAAACCAGAUUUUUAUUGGCAGAUAAUCUGUACUGCAAAGCUUCAGUUCCUCCUACAGAUAAAGUUUGUUUGUGGUUGGGGGCCAAUGUGAUGCUUGAAUAUGAUAUUGAUGAAGCUCAGGCUCUGUUAGAGAAGAAUUUGUCAACAGCCACGAAAAAUCUCGAUCUUCUAGAGGAAGACCUGGAUUUUCUCAGAGAUCAGUUCACCACUACAGAAGUCAGUAUCCUUUUCAUUAAUGUGAGGGAGGAGAUGUAUGGGAAAGCCAACAUCCAGGGCUGAGUUGGAAGUUGGUGUAUGAGAGGUAACAAAACUUGUAUUUGUGUCCUCAUGAAAUCUACAGCAGUGGUUGCAACCCAGACUGACUCUGGAGUGAGUUGAAGUGUGGAUUGAUGCCCAAGUGAUCACCUUAAAGCAGUGACCCUUUCUCUAGGGCUUGUUAGGGGUGAAAAAUUCAAUUCCAUGGAAGCAGCGGACAUGAAAAGUGUGGCUGAUGGAUCCUGGCAUAAAUGAAAGGGGGCGUGAGUCAGCACAUCUGAAUUGGUGACUGAAAGCAAGUGAUUUACCAGCACUGUGCCUGUCAGAAAGUGAGCUGCAGGGAAGGGCAGAGAGAAGGUAAACCCUUAGCAUUGAUCGCCAGUAACUGCCUGGGCUCAUCCCUUCCCCACAGCAAAUACUGUUUGUUUCAGUGUCUGUGGCUGCAGCAGAGGAACAUGGAACUCUACCGUAUUUUCAAACAGGUAUCUGCUACAGCACCAGAAUGUGGCACUGGACAGGCUGUAGGCUGCUGCUUUCCAUUUUCUUUUUCUAGCAUCAGCAACGAUGGAAAGACAGCUGCAAACAGAGCCUGAUUUCUCUUACAGUUUUUUCUUUGAUUUUGAUUAAUGCAAUCCUAACAGGCUGUGCUCCCACCCCCCCACCCCAGGCUGGUCCUAAGGCAGCAAUUGCUUGCCUUUGUUGUGCAAAAUGAAACGACCAGUUAAGCAUUUUUGCACAGCAGAAGCAGAGCCAAACAAAAUCAACACUAUGCCACUGCCAGGAACCUGCUGCUGCAUGUUAGAGAGGACAGGGUGACAGCCUUGGAGUUGAAAUGGCUCCUGUGUUCAAAGGUGUCUGGUUCCUGGGGGAUGGGAGAUGGCUGUGGCCAUCAUAACUCAGGAUUUGGUGUUUAUGUGUUUGAUCUGAGGUAAAUAAAAACCCCCAAAAGUGGGAUCAGUGACUAAUCCUUGCCUAGGUCUGCUCUGCGCUUUGUUGUUGUAGCUGCCAUACCACCAGACCUGCAGAGGCCUCCUGGAGGGGCCAAGGCUGCAGUGGCUGCAACUGCUGGAAGCAGGGGGUGGUUUUGUCUCAGAGCAGUUUGUCUGUUUUUUCUCAGCAAGGCAGAGGACAGGUGCAAAGUGAGGCAGGCCCUACAGGAAGUGUCCAGUGGCUGUGAGGCAGUGCCUGGGAAUGGUGGAUCCAGCCCUGGCUGGAAUACAGAGCAGAGAUAGGGAGCAGGGAAACACACUAAGAGAGAAUGGGUAGGAGGAAAGGGGGAAAAAAAACCCACCAAAGUUUCUUUACAAGUUUUGAAUUUCACAUUAUCACGUAGUAACCAUUUUGCUAAAUACAAGCAUAUUUUCAGUCACAUACAGGCAGCUAAAUACAGCAUUAUUUUCACAUUUCAUUACAGUGCAUAACAAAGCAAGGACAGUGUAAAGUAUGCUUUUAUUCUGGAGGUUCUGAGCAAGUUCAGUCUAACAUGCAGAUUGUUUUUAAUAUGUGGUAGAGACCACAGAAAGUUAGCUUUUGCUUUUUUUUUCUCUUUUUGUCCUAGAGUAUAAGAGCUCCUGACCUUUAGCCUAUGAAAGGUAUCACCUGAUUUCUCAAAGUCCCUCUAAGUCAAAGCAUUAAAACCAGUUGUUAGAAAAGAAUUCUUAGCAUAUCCAAUAAGUAUUUAAUCUUAGAAAAAUCAUUCCAAAUUUUGUACAGAUGAAUCUACAUUUCCUGUAUUUUAAUAAGCUGUCUAGAAAAUGCAAGGAAUUAGAAAAAGAUGUAGAUAAUGAUUUCUCUAUCAUUUAAUAUAACAAUUUAUUAACUCUAAGUAGUUAAGACUGUGUACAUUUUCUUCUGUAAUGUUCCUCUUUAGAAUUACAACACUUCUGUAUUUAAACUGAAGAUUCACUCUGAAGAUUUCACUCUGAAUGCACUUACUGGCUUAGGCUUUCUAGAAUUUCUCCCUGGGAGCAGUAAAGGGGAAUGUCCAAAACGCAUUAAAUAAAAUAUUGUCUGUCUCA